rnacentral:lncRNA from 1 species
GGCAUUCAAAGCCUCAUUCCCUCCAGGAAGGCCCUGAACAUGCUUCUCUUAAGUCCUAACAUACUCUGUAUAUGUCACUUAUAUACUUUAAAUGCUUGCUAUAUAAUGUGGAAGACUGAGGGCAUUUGGAAAUCUUAAAUUCAACCCCGUAACCUUGGAGCAAUCUUUGCCACAUCUGAAAACAUUGUAUGUAACACUCCUGAAAACAUUAUAUGCAGUGCUUGAAGCAAAUAGAAAAAUAAUCUCUAGCAUAGUACAAGCCUAGAAUUUCAUACCCAAAGGACUAAAUUGAAGCAAAUGCUUAUAAAUUGCACUCAGGGUAAUAAAUGACAUCUUUGUGUUCUCUUGUCAGAAAUUGGUGGUGAAUUCUCAUUUUCGUUCCUCAGACCAUUUGGCUGUUUUGCAUUAGGGUUUCUCUGAAUCUGAAUGUGGGUUUAGUAGAAUUUCAUGUCUACA